CCGCCCGUCACACCAUGGAAGUGUAUUGCACCAGAAGCAGGUAGCCUGACCGCAAGGAGGGCGCCUACCACGGUGUGGUCCAUGACUGGGGUGAAGUCGUAACAAGGUUACC
rnacentral:rRNA from 1 species